GACACCAUGAUUGUGCAUAUUAAAUGCAUCUCGCAACAUACCUUCCAUGUCAUCCCCUCUAUCAGACUGAUGGUAAGCAGGACCAGAGUAAGAUACAUCCAUCGUUGAAGAAGAAGUACUAGGCGGGCAUUCUCCAUGAAAUAACCAUUGUUUAUAACCCCGAACAAACCCAUCAACAAUUAGAUGCUCGUAUACAACCUCACGACAAUGCCAGUUUAUGUUGACACACUUCUUACACGGGCAAAGAAUCAUGUUCUCCUGGCUUGCAUAUUGAAAUGCAAAAUUUAGAAAAUAUUGUACUCCAUUUCGAUAACCGUUGCUAACCCUUGAUAAAUUCAUCCAAGACCGGUCCAUUUCUUAAUUCUUGAAGUCUGACGUUGACAAUAAUUUGCACGGGUAAGUUAAAACGCCAGUUAUAACCAUAAAUGAAUUACAGA
rnacentral:lncRNA from 1 species